rnacentral:rRNA from 1 species
UGGGGAAUUUUGGGCAAUGGGCGAAAGCCUGACCCAGCAACGCCGCGUGAAGGAUGAAGUAUUUCGGUAUGUAAACUUCGAAAGAAUAGGAAGAAUAAAUGACGGUACUAUUUAUAAGGUCCGGCUAACUACGUGCCAGCAGCCGCGGUAAUACGUAGGGACCAAGCGUUGUUCGGAUUUACUGGGCGUAAAGGGCGCGUAGGCGGCAAUUCAAGUCAUCUGUGAAAUCUCCGGGCUUAACUCGGAACGGUCAGAUGAUACUGCUUUGCUAGAGUGCAGAAGGGGCAAUCGGAAUUCUUGGUGUAGCGGUGAAAUGCAUAGAUAUCAAGAGGAACACCUGAGGUGAAGACGGGUUGCUGGGCUGACACUGACGCUGAGGCGCGAAAGCCAGGGGAGCAAACGGGAUUAGAUACCCAAGUAGUCCCUGAGCGGGCUGGCAAGGCGCAU